AACAUCGCGCACCUGCGGGAACCUGCGGAGGGAUCAUUACCGAGUUUACAACUCCCAAACCCCUGUGAACAUACCUAUAUGUUGCCUCGGCGGAUCAGCCCGCGCCCCGUAAAACGGGACGGCCCGCCGCAGGAUCCACAAACUCUGUUUUUAUUGUAACUUCUGAGUAACAAAACAAAUAAAUCAAAACUUUUAACAAUGGAUCU
rnacentral:misc_RNA from 1 species